rnacentral:rRNA from 1 species
GACGAACGCUGGCGGCGUGCUUAACACAUGCAAGUCGAACGAAGUGGCGAACGGGUGAGUAACGCGUAAUCAACCUGCCCUUCAGAGGGGGACAACAGUUGGAAACGUCUGCUAAUACCGCAUACUGAAGGAGGGGCUUGUGUCGGAUUAGCUAGUUGGAGGGGUAACGGCCAACCAAGGCGAUGAUCAGUAGCCGGUCGGAGGGGAUGAAGGGCCAAAUUGGGACGGAGACAGGGCCCAGACUCCUACGGGAGGCGGCAGGGGUGAAUCUUCCGCAAUGGGCGAAAGUCUGACGGGGCAACGGGGCGUGGAGUAUGACACUUUUCGGAGCGUAAACUCCUUUUGUUAGGGAAGCGGUACCUAACGAAUAAGCACCGGCUAACUCCGUGCCAGCCGCCGCGGUAAUAC